UACGAAGGGGCUAGCGUUGCUCGGAAUCACUGGGCGUAAAGGGUGCGUAGGCGGGUCUUUAAGUCAGGGUGAAAUCCUGGAGCUCAACUCCAGAACUGCCUUUGAUACUGGCGAUCUCGAGUCCGGGAGAGGUGAGUGGAACUGCGAGUGUAGAGGUGAAAUUCGUAGAUAUUCGCAAGAACACCAGUGGCGAAGCGGCUCACUGGCCCGGUACUGACGCUGAGGUGCGAAAGCGUGGGAGCAAACAGG
rnacentral:rRNA from 1 species